rnacentral:lncRNA from 1 species
UAUAUAGGACCCUAAUAUUCAAUAAAAUACACAACAUUCCAUUCUUUCACAUGGUAUCAGAGUUAUAGGAAAAAACACCUUAACUCUUUUGAAACUUUAAAUCACCCUCAUCACUGAAAAUAGAAACAACCCUAAAUGGGACCAGCCUUUAUAGCUGGCUACCAGCCUCCAGCCACUGUCACCUGCAGCCGCUGCCACUUGCAUCUAGCGCACCAGUAGGCAAGGCUCAGCUAUGCAAACAGCCAACAGCGUGUGUCAUUCAGCUGCAUGUGCCACCAAGCCGUAAGCCUCCAGCCGUGCUCCUGCCAUCCAGCCACGCACUUCCAGCCAUGCACCAGCCACCUAUCAGCAGUCUGUCUACCAGCUGCACAUCCCUCCAGCUGUGCCUCUGUCCAACAGCUGCAAACCAAUUCUGUCCAGCCACCUGUUCAGCCCGGUAAUCUCUUUUUUUCCUUAUAAAAUCGACCUCUAAUUACCCUAAAAAACUUUAGAUCAUGUCAAAGGUUACGUCUUAAGGCACAGGUGCGAAUCGCCAUAUGGAAAAUUCACAAGAAGUUAACAGAGAAUUUCAACUAAUUCUGGUGGUUUAUCAGAAAUUAUUUGAAUCUGACACUAUUGAUUCGGGUAAUCCUCAAAGGAAACGGAAAACUCAGCCACAUUUUGAGCACUGGAUCUAAACUAUGAGACCCAUGGUUUAGUGGCUAGUAUGAGGAAGAUUUGAUGAUAAGGCUUGGCUCUAGAAUUCAAUGUCACUAGAGAUAAGCAACACUUGCAUGUUCCUCCCUACUGCUAAGGAGGUUUAGGAAGUAGUCAGACAAAUAAAUUCUAGAGUAAAAGAUGUUGCUCAAAUCUAUGACUGAUGAUCAAAACCUGGCUUGCAAAACAAUGAAGCAUAUCAGUGUUAGAAUAUGCUAACAUAUUACAAAACCAGCGAUAAGAAUUUGAUCAGUACCGUUGUCUCACUGUAUUAACAGCAAAUAUGUAGCCCGCCUAAAGCAGUUUGUGGAGAAGGAUUGUGCAUACCAAUUCAUGGUUGGCCUUAACCCAGAGUUUGACCAGGUAGAUAUUAGGCAAAGAAGACAUAUCGUCCUUAAGUUAUUUCAAUUGUAGUUGCAGAAAAAAGUAGAAAGGGGAUAAUGCUAGAAACUCGUUCCACGGAAAGUUCAACAAUGACAACUAAAAGUUUAAAACCAUGCCAAUAUACGAAAGAGCCAAGACAAUGAAAUCCCAGCUACUGGUGAGGAGAACACGGACAAUUUUUGGUAUACCUUCUGCAAGAAACUAUGACACACUAAAAAAGAAUAAAACUCCAUGGGAAGCCUAACAUAUUCAACAAAGAGUAGAAGUACAAGAAUAUUUUCUAGAAGCGUCAAGUACAGGCACAUAUGACCCACCCAGAAGGAGAAGAAUAGACUGCAGAUCUAAAUGAUUUUAAGACAGAAAUUGAGCAACUGAUGACUCGACUUGAAUAUCUGGAAAAAUCUAAAAGCACAGUCUCUACACACUAAAAAGGUUGAAAACUCCAUGGGAAGCCUAACAUAUUCAACAAAGAGUAGGAAUGUAAGAAUAAUUUCUAGAAACCUCAAGGAAAGGCACAUAUGGUCCACCCAGAAGGAGAAGAAUAGACUGCAGAUCUCAGUGAUUUUAAGAUAGAAAUUGAGCGACUGAUGACUCAACUUGAAUAUCUUGGCUCGUUCAUGUAAGUUUUCCAUCUCUCAUGGUUAAAUGCCUAAGAAACACUUUUUGCACUAUCCUGGAUUAUAGAUUCAGGAGUCACCAACCAUACGACCAAUUCCUCUAAAUAUUUUUAACACAACACCUAUGUCCCAUGUCCCAACAAUAGGAAAAUUAUUACUGCUGUCAUUAAUCAUAAUAGCAGGAGUUGGAAACAUAAAGCUCAGUCCUCAUUUUGCUCUUACUAAUGCACUUCAUGUUUCUCAAUAAUGUAUAAAUCUAAUACCAGUGAAGUGAUCUUUUCUUAUUCUCUUUGCGAAUUUCAUGACCAGAACUUGGGAAUGAUGAUGGGACAUGUUGAAGCUCGAGAUGGAUUAUACUUUGUGAAUGCACCUGAGAUGCCACGUAUUACUUUUUCUACGAGCUCUCCGUGGAUAAGAUAUGGCUACACCAUAGAAGAUCAAUACACCCUUCUUUCUCUAUCCCUAAGAUUAUGUUUCCCUCUUUAUUUAUGGU